UAUCUACAACUAUCUGAUCUUUGACAAACCUGACAAAAACAAGCAAUGGGGAAAGGAUUCCCUAUUUAAUAAAUGGUGCUGGGAAAACUGGCUAGCCAUAUGUAGAAAGCUGAAACUGGAUCCCUUCCUUGCACCUUAUACAAAAAUUAAUUCAAGAUGGAUUAAAGGCUUAAAUGUUAGACCUAAAACCAUAAAAACAACUAAAUACCUCAACAUCUAACAGUAUAGUUUAGUUCGUGUUUAUACCCAAUAAAUACACAUUAUACAAAUGGAUGCAUGAGUGAUAAGGCAAUAAAUCUCACAACUUUCCAGUUUGACUAUUAUUAGAUCCCUGAGAGUAUGACUGACCUGUACAUGUUUGUAUAUUGUAUGGAAUCAGGUAAAGUACUUUCCCCCAGUCAGUAGGAAUUAAUCCUCACAAACCCUGGCCUCAUAUCCUACACUAUCAAAAUGACUAAACUUUAGGGUUGUUUAUUAUGUAAAAAAAGAUAAUUGAGACAUUCCUAAAAUUCAGAUUUUAUGUGAACUCAAGACCCGAUUUUCCAGGUGCCGUCCAUCACCCCUUUCUUUGACUAGGAAAGGGAAGUCCCUGACCCCUUGUGCUUCCCGAGUGAGCCAAUGCCUCGCCCUGCUUCGGCUGGUGCACGGUGCGCGCACCCACUGACCUGCGCCCACUGUCCUCCCUAGUGAGAUGUACCUGGUACCUCAGAUGGAAAUGCAGAAAUCACCCGUAUUCUGCGUCGCUCACACUGGGAGCUGUAGACCAGAGCUGUUCCUAUUCGGCCAUCUUGGCUCCUCCCUCCUAAUCUCAAAGAUUUUAUACUUGCAAAGCUGGGAUUACAGGCGUGAGCCACCGCGCUGGGCCAAGAUUUUGCAUUUCUAGUAAAUUCCUAUAUGAUGCUGAUAAUCUUAAUUACAAAUAUAAUUUUUACAAAGUAGAUUGGUAUAUUUACCUACAUUUAUUUUUUAAAGCGCUGAACUCCCCAUUUCUUCUUUCUUUGUUCAUCUAGAGACCUUUCUUCAAAUCAAAUUAGAGGUGACCUUUCUAAAAUACAAAUGCUGUCAAGCCAUUUAAAAUCCUUAAAUGGCACUACAUCUCAUAAAGCAUAAAGUCCGUGCACUGUCUUCCACAAUGGCUGAACUAAUUUACACUCCCACCAACAGUGUAAAAGCAUUCCUAUUUCUCCACAUCCUCUCCAGCAUCUGUUUUUUCCUGGCUUUUUAAUGAUCGCCAUUCUAACUGGCAUGAGAUGCUAUCUCACUGCGGUUUUGAUUUGUAUUUCUCUAAUGACCAGAGAUGAUGACCUUUUUUUCCUAUGUUUGCUGGCCGCAUAAAUGUCUUCUUUUGAGAAAUGUCUGUACAUAUCCUUUGCCCAUAUUUUGAUGGGGUUGUUCAUAUUUUCUUGUAAAUUUGUUAAGUUCCUUUUAAAUUCUGGAUAUUAGUUCUUUGUCAGAUGGAUAGAUUGCAAAAUUUUUUUCCCAUUCUGUAGGUUGCCUAUUCACUCUGGUGAUAGUUUCUUUUGCUGUGCAGAAGCUCUUUAGUUUAAUUAGAUCCCAUUUGUCAAUUUUGGCUUUUAUUGUCAUUGCUCUUGGUGUUUUAUUCAUGAAGUCUUUGCCCAUGCCUAUAUCCUGAAUGAUAUUGCCUAGGUUUUCUUC
rnacentral:lncRNA from 1 species